UGCAGGCUGCAACUCGCCUGCAUGAAGUCGGAAUUGCUAGUAAUCGCAGAUCAGCAUGCUGCGGUGAAUACGUCCCCGGGCCUUGUACACACCGCCCGUCACACCAUGGGAGUCGGUAACACCCGAAGUCGGUAGCCUAACCGUAAGGAGGGCGCCGCCGAAGGUGGGAUUGAUGACUGGGGUGAAGUCGUAACAAGGUACC
rnacentral:rRNA from 1 species